AUUUCACUCUUGACUAUUGGACCAUCCAAUUUUUCUAGUAAUCACAUUCUGAAAGAAAAUUUUAUGGUUACAAGUCUAGCUACAAAAUGCAAUUAUCAACAUUCCAAGAGAAACCAAAUCACAGAUUAAAACAAAUAAAUAAAUAAGUUUUUCAGAUUACCAUGUAGGUCAGCACUGAGACUCUCAAAGCAUUCAGAACUUGAAGAUAGAUCAUCUGGGAAAGGAGUUUCAAGAACUGAA
rnacentral:misc_RNA from 1 species